UGAAAUCGUCUUAUAUGUGUUUCAAAAUAAGUACUUGCAUUUUUGUAGACAUUAGACGUCACUUUAAACACUAGAAUCAUGCAAUUCAUAUGGUUAAACCUCUUAGGUAGUGCUUUGAAGAGAGUAAUGCAUCCAACCGAAAUACAAAAUGAUGGAUCAAAGUUUUCAUGGAAAGAUGGGUAUAUAAUCAUAUGUGGAGUUGUUGUCUUUUACAUCUUAACAUAUUAUAUUGGAGUAUUAGGCAGCUCUGGGUUAUUGGGAGUUAUUGUAGCAUGUUCCUGUUGGAUCAUAUCAAUUCGUGAAAGAAAUGAUACAAUACAACAACUAGACAAGGCAAUUGACAGGAUUCGCAGAGAAAAUGAAUAUUUGAAAUCACAGAUCUUACAAUACAGUUAUUCGACAAACAAAUUACAAGAAAAGAUGUUGGUACAGCAUCAACUUAAACAACUUGAAUCUGAAAACAAAUUGCAUGAAGAAAAACACCUCAGUAGACAAAAGUGUGAGGAAGUUGCCAGAAAUAUGGGGAAAUACAUCACAAGAUGUGAGGAAAAGAGGAAAGACGUAGCAUUAUCAUUGCAGCAACAGCAGUUGGAGAAUCAAAAAUAUAACCGCAUUUGUUCCGAACUGUCGGAAAAUUUGGAUGUUGCUCAUAACGAAAUAAAAUGGACAGAAUCUCAGCUUCAAGCCUCCAUUGCAUACACACAAAGAGAAAGAAGAACACAUGAAGAAUAUGAAAAAAUGUCAAGAACUAGACUUCAAAAAUUAGAAGCAGAAAAAAGAACACAUGAAGAAUAUGAAAAAAUGUCAAGAACUAGACUUCAAAAAUUAGAAGCAGAAAAAAGAACACAUGAAGAAUAUGAAAAAAUGUCAAGAACUAGACUUCAAAAAUUAGAAGCAGAAAAAAGAACACAUGAAGAAUAUGAAAAAAUGUCAAGAACCAGACUUCAAAAAUUAGAAGCAGAAAACAGAGCCUUAAAAGAUAUUCAGAAGAAAUAUGAAGAAAACGUCAUAAGACUCAAAGGUUUGCAAAACACUGUUUCGACAACAUAUAAGGAACUGGAAAGAAUGAAAAAUGAGAAAUGUUCUUGGUCGGCAAAGUCAAACGAGCUAAAGCAAACAAUUAAAGAUAUGGAGAAGGCACAACAUGACGAUUUUUACUCCAAGCGGCAAGUAGAUGCCAUAUAUAAACUCACAUCAGGAAAAACUGACUAUGACAGACUUGGGAUUCGUCCAGGAGCAACAAAGUAUAUUUUAAGAAUUUGUGAUAUAAAACCAUGAUAAAAAAAGCAUAUAUCAAAUUGUCAAAUGUCUGAAGCUAGCUAUGUAUGAUAAUGUUUCCCCACUGGAGUUCUAUGUUGCUUCAGUAGAUUUCACCAUUGUAAAAUAUUAUUUAUAUCAUUUGUCUGCCUCUUGUUACAGUGUAAACUGUCUAGAGUGUUUAUAAAAGUUGAAGUUGAUAUAGUGGCCAUUUUUGAUUUAAGAUCGUCAAAUAAAUCACAUCUUAUCAGUAAUAUAUUAAAAGAAAACAAAGUGAUCAAUUACAUUUUAUAAUAAUUCAUGAUCCAUUUUAUUCAUAUUUAGUUGUUGUUUGACAUUUGAUUUACAUGAGGGUUUGGAUGGGGUCAGAACAGAGAAUAAUGAGUAAAAAGUGAAGUACAAAGGCAAAAAAAUAUAAAGAAUAGAGAAAAAAUCGGCCAAAAAAAUAAAGAAUAGAGAAUAAUGGAGUGCUAAAAUAUAAAGAAUAGAGAAUAACGGGGCGGAUGUGAAGACAGCUUACAAAAAACUAUCUAUAUUGGUACAUCCUGACAAAAACGCAGCCCCUGGAAGUGAAGAUGCAUUUAAAAUCUUACAGAAUGCAAAAAAUAGCUUAUUUAAAAACUGUGUUUAGCAUCUGUUAUUUAUUGAUUAUCUCUCUUUUUUUCUUUUUUUUUGUAUCAAAGUCUCAGUCGGAUUUUUCAUUUUAUUUGAAAGAUCUUUUUAUCAUGUUUAUAUUAAAUCCGUUGUCGUUUAUCGUAUCUAAAUAAAACAAUAAUAAAUAGCG